AAAAAAAUUCAAAACCCCUCCCCUUUUAUCUCAAGAUCCGGCUCUCAGUCCCCUCGGCCUCCGUCGCCCCGCCUUUCUGCUCGCCGCACCGCCACCGUAUUCGACGACCGACGAAGCGCAAGAACGGGCGUUCGAAGCCUUGCCCCGGUGAGUUUCCCCUUUCCUUCUUUUUUUUUAUUUACCAUAUAUAAAAAGAAUUAAAAAUAGAAUAAAAAAUAGGGAUACACUAUCAAAAUAUGGAUCUUGUUCCAAAAUCAAACAAUCACCUUGAGAUUGUUGUGUUUCUUUUUAUUCUUUGUGUCUUUUUGAUUUUCUGAAAUGUUCAAAAGAAAAGAAAAAAAAAACCCUUACAAUCGGUUUUAGAUUGCUUUUAUAGUCAUUUACAACACUUUUUUUUAUCUAUUUUUCUAAUGUUUCUCUUGCGUGCAUGUUCUUCUUUGUAGGGAGUGGUUGGCGCGACAGGGAGGAGCGGUGGUGGUAGCUGAGGCUAGGGAUAGGGUGAGGUGGCUUCUGAAACCCUAGUUUGACUAUUGGGUCAGUGGGUUUUGGGUUGUAAUGGGCUAGUAUUUUGGGUUUAAGUUUGGGUUUCAAUUGGGCUAGGGUGUUUUGGGUUAAAUUUCUUGGACUGUUAAUUUUUUAAUUUGUUUGGGUUUUAUUUGUCUGGGCCCGGGUAAAAAUGGGCUUGUACAUUCUUAAUACUAGUUUUUUUUAUAUGAGUAAAUAGAUAAUUACUUGAACCAAUUUAAUAAAAAUUAA
rnacentral:lncRNA from 1 species